AUGAACGCUAGCUACAGGCUUAACACAUGCAAGUCGAGGGGCAUCAGAUCGAAAGCUUGCUUUGAUGCUGGCGACCGGCGCACGGGUGAGUAACGCGUAUCCAACCUUCCCUAUAGUAGAGAAUAGCCCGGCGAAAGUCGGAUUAAUGCUCUAUGUUGUAUUUAGAGGACAUCUGAAGAAUACCAAAGGUUUUACCGCUAUAGGAUGGGGAUGCGUCUGAUUAGGUAGUAGGCGGGGUAACGGCCCACCUAGCCGACGAUCAGUAGGGGUUCUGAGAGGAAGGUCCCCCACAUUGGAACUGAGACACGGUCCAAACUCCUACGGGAGGCAGCAGUGAGGAAUAUUGGUCAAUGGACGGAAGUCUGAACCAGCCAAAAGUAGCGUGCAGGAUGACGGCCCUAUGGGUUGUAAACUGCUUUUAUAUAGGGAUAAAGUCGGGGACGUGUCCCCGUUUGUAGGUACUAUAUGAAUAAGGACCGGCUAAUUCCGUGCCAGCCGCGGC
rnacentral:rRNA from 1 species